rnacentral:misc_RNA from 1 species
GAAUGAAUGGGCUAAAGGUGAGGGUCCAUGAAGUAUGAAGAUUGGACUUGACUAACCAUUGCUAGAAGGCUAAAACUAAUCAAUUAAUUAGUUGACCCUUAAUCCUUAUGAGCCCUUAGGAUUCCUUUUCUCUUUUGGAUGUGGGACUCUCGACUAUUAUUAUUAUUAACUUCUUUUGGUUAUCUGCCAAUAGGAAUCACCUAACAUGAAGUGGAUACCAGUAGUUUUGUCAUCUGAGAAUGUCCCCAUGUGAAUUAAACAAUGCUUACCCGAACAGAUGCUUGGAGGAAGGAGCACAAGAACUCUUGCUGAAGCUUCUUCAGCUGUCAGAUAUAUCAAAAUUGAGAUACCAUACAAAACAAUUCAACAAUCCAUGCCAAGGAAUGCUUUGCAUGGGAAUAUGAAAGUGCCCCGAAGAAUAAUAUUACAAGUAGAAAAAAUAUCAUGGAGAAAUAUUUUGAGAAGAAAGAAAAAUAAAUAUUAAUGGCUUUAUUUGACCAUACAAUAUGCACCCUGCAACCAAUCAGAAAUGCAUAACCUUUACUAGCUGGUUCUUUUGCCAACAUGUAUUAUCUACUCAUAAAAGAUUUCGGUUUAAGCCAACCAAUUGCCUUUUGCUCAUUGUUACUUGAUUGGUGUUGUAUAUAACUUCUUAUUUGGCAGAGGCUUUUGCUUAGAUUCAUAUUCCCAUUUUCAUACACAUCAUCAACAGGGUGAGCCAAAGUUUUGGGUAGCGAAGACUCGUGAAACUAGGCUUAUCAAUCCCUAGACUAGUGUGCUAUCAAUUACAGUUCAUGUCCUAAAACAUGGGCAAAAGAAGGAUACGAAAAUUCUGUGUCUUUCCUUCCCUUGGUCCCAAAACAGUCUCCACAUCUAAUAAUCAUCAGGAAGGCAUACCUUCUUCACAGUGUCUACCUAGAUGCAUCUUUUGGUACCUUCUGCAUGCAAAGAAGUUGAAGGACAGCUUUCUAGCAUCAUCAGCUUGGGAGAUGAGAUGAGACAAUUACCAUGUCUUUUACUUGCUAUUUUCUCCAGCCCCUUCAUUUUCUAUUUCUUUGUUCCCAUCUUGACAAAAAGGAACUUCAUAAUCAUGGUGAUGUUCUACCAUCUACACUGCUUUCAGAUUUGUCAGAGAUCUUUGCAGAAGAUGAUGUCUCUGAGGUUCCAUCCUUCAACUCCUUGCACAUAGGGCCAGCUUCCUCUGAAUCUAAAGAAUACUUCACCUUCAAGUUCUUCCCAGUAAAAAUUUCUUUUUGAGGCUUGAUAUUGUCAUGGUUGGCUUGCUGAGAUUCUGUUCUAUUUUUCUUAUCUUUGCUCAUACUUCUAAGAGCAGAUAAAUCGAAAAUCAAUUUCUCUCCUUCAGAAACAGCAUCUUGUGAUGAAUGUGGAGGCCGGCUUUCCAACUCAAAAUCUGAAGACUCUGGAAAAAUAUCUGGCUUGGUUGCCCCAUUCUCAAAAUUUGAUAACGUAGAGGAAGCAUUAGAGUGUUUCUGACAAGAUUGUUGAAAAAAAGCAUAGUUUUCAGAGAUGCAACCGCCAUGAGGUGAAGAUUUAAAAGGACUACCAUGUUUGGAUCUACCUAAAGAGAACUUGGCUUCAAUAUGUGGCUCAGGGACAGGGAAUAUAUCAAAAGUAUCUUCAUUGAAAGGCUUGGACCCUGAGGAAGGAAGUUUUGUUUUGGAGGUUUGACAUACAGAACUGUAAUCCAAGUCCAUAUGGGCUGAACUAUAUCCUUCUUGAAACAACCAACUCCCAUGUUGUCCUAUUUUCCCCUGGGAAAGAUAAAUUAGGUUAUGGGUUGAUUGGGCCUUUAACAAAGUUGGCAUCUGUGUACAUUUUCCUGACCAAUGAGCAUUGCUUCCUUUCUGAAGGUCAUCCUUAUUUUUGAAAUGCUUUUCUUUGGCAAGUAUGCUUUUAUCACCAUGCUUAAUGUCAGGGCCAACAAAAGCAUUUUGCUGUCUUCUGUUGUCUCUUGCUUUGGAGUUCACUUUUGAAAUAUCACUCUCCUCGCCCCUCACUGAACAUGCAAAAGAAUCGCUUACAAAAAGCAAUAAAUCAGAAAGUGCCAACUUUAAUUUAUGAACACUCGAUGCAAUAAAAAUAUAUAUAUAUAACCUGCUGUGGAUGAGCAUGACUCCUCACUCAACAAACUCAAACUUUCCUUUGCAUCUUCCAAAACAAAGCAAGACCAAUCAGGAUGUGCAGUUACAUCUCCAAAGUCAAAAUCUAUGCCCAGCAAAUGACGCCUUGUCUCUUUCAAAGUCAAGAAAUUGUAAUCGUUUUCUGAUGUUUGGUGGUUUUGAGCAGACGAAUCUAACAAAUUGAAUCUUUUUGUUGCUUUCAUACAAUCCCUCUUCUUCAUCUGAUAGGGACGUCCAAAAGCAUGAUUUGGUAUUUCAUCAUUUCCAUAUUUCAAAAAGUCUACAGAAUCACCAUCUGGAUGACAUUGCCAACCUUUCCAGGACAUAUCACAUUGCCUUUCAUGAAGAAAAUUGCCAUCUAAUAAACCAGACCUAGCAUCCCAUAAGUCUUCAUUGUCGUUUCCAGUGUUACAAAAUGCUUUUCCAAUAGAGAAUGUGCUUCUUACUUUACUACCCUGGCCACCAAGUUGCAUGUGAUCUCUGACCUCAGAUAAAUUCUUCUUUAGCUUGCCACAUGAAUCCUCAAUCAAUGUUGAAAAUUCUAUGGAACCUCCAACUAUAGGCAUUUCAAUAUCUUGAAUUAUUGCGUCCACUUCAAGUUCAAGGUCAUUCAGCACACAAUUAAGGUUCCUUGAUGAGUUUAAUUGCCUUACAGCCUUGAAUGGUGAGGAACAACCAUAGGUAACAUAUCUGUCAGGUUGUCGUGGUGAGUGCGGGGGUGUUUUUGUUCCGACUUUACCCAAACCAUCAACUGAAAAUGCAACAUGAGCUUCUGGAGUUCCUUCCAAAUUUCUAUUUGAUUCAUCAUCACCAAGCAAAUCAAAAAAUGAUAAUUGUUGUUGAGUUGCUUUCCCCCAAAAGUCCUGUUUAUUGUUGGUUCCAUUGAAAGCAUUGCUGUGAUCAUGUGAAGAACCAAGCAGAACCUUCUUUGUGGAUACAGUCUCCACUUGGCUGCCUGACAGAGAGCUUGCUUCCCUAAUUUCAUAAGAAUCUACAGGACAGAUUGUGCUGGCUCGAAUUGCUGAUGGAUCUGCAGUGACAUGAUUCUUGACUGUUGAACCAUUGACAAUUGGAUCUUCCCUUCCACUGGGGCAACUAGACUUGCAGUUUUGGGAACUUGCUGAAAAGCUUAGCAAAUUGAGAACAUCCAGUGACCGAUGCUCUUUGUAAUUUUCCAAACAUUUGUGUUCUCCCCCUACAGAGCUCUCCAACCCAGCUGUUUGCUGGUGCAUUUGCCGUCUCCGUUGUUCAAAGUAUUUCUUUUGCCUCUUCUGUAUGGACUUCCUUGAAGUUGUCACUUUCUUCCUCGAUCCUCCCAUCCAUUGCAACAUUUUGGAAGCUCCUCAGAAUGGAUGAAUACUGCGAACUCGGACGGCUAAGCUUGAAUCAAAGAAAUGCUCUCUUCUUCUAGCUUUCGAGAACUGAUUAAUUCGGAGUCAGAGCAGAAAGAGCGAGUUCCAC